GUAGGGGGCAAGCGUUAUCCGGAUUUACUGGGUGUAAAGGGAGCGCAGGCGGACGUUUAAGUCAGUUGUGAAAUACGGCGGCUCAACCGUCGGGGUGCAGUUGAUACUGGACGUCUUGAGUGCACACAAGGAUGCCGGAAUUCAUGGUGUAGCGGUGAAAUGCUCAGAUAUCAUGAAGAACUCCGAUCGCGAAGGCAGGUGUCCGGGGUGCAACUGACGCUGAGGCUCGAAAGUGCGGGUAUC
rnacentral:rRNA from 1 species